rnacentral:rRNA from 1 species
CGCACGGGUGAGUAAUACAUCGGAACGUGUCUUCUAGUGGGGGAUAACUGCCCGAAAGGGCAGCUAAUACCGCAUGAGACCUGAGGGUGAAAGCGGGGGAUCGCAAGACCUCGCGCUGGAAGAGCGGCCGAUGUCCGAUUAGCUAGUUGGUGAGGUAACGGCCCACCAAGGCGACGAUCGGUAGCCGGACUGAGAGGUUGAACGGCCACAUUGGGACUGAGACACGGCCCAG